rnacentral:rRNA from 1 species
UGGGGAAUCUUGGACAAUGGGGGCAACCCUGAUCCAGCCAUGCCGCGUGAGUGAUGAAGGCCUUAGGGUCGUAAAGCUCUUUCGCCUGUGAAGAUAAUGACGGUAGCAGGUAAAGAAACCCCGGCUAACUCCGUGCCAGCAGCCGCGGUAAUACGGAGGGGACUAGCGUUGUUCGGAAUUACUGGGCGUAAAGAGUUCGUAGGCGGACUAGCAAGUUAGAGGUGAAAUCCCAGGGCUCAACCUUGGAACUGCCUUUAAAAGCUGCUAGUCUAGAGACCGGAAGAGGUUAGGGGAAUACCUAGUGUAGAGGUGAAAUUCGUAGAUAUUAGGUGGAACACCAGUGGCGAAGGCGCCUAACUGGUCCGGUACUGACGCUGAGGAACGAAAGCGUGGGGAGCAAAC